rnacentral:rRNA from 1 species
UACGAAGGGGGCUAGCGUUGCUCGGAAUCACUGGGCGUAAAGCGCACGUAGGCGGAUCUUUUAAGUCAGGGGUGAAAUCCUGGAGCUCAACUCCAGAACUGCCUUUGAUACUGGGGAUCUCGAGUCCGGAAGAGGUGAGUGGAACUCCGAGUGUAGAGGUGAAAUUCGUAGAUAUUCGGAAGAACACCAGUGGCGAAGGCGGCUCACUGGUCCGGUACUGACGCUGAGGUGCGAAAGCGUGGGGAGCGAACAGG